rnacentral:misc_RNA from 1 species
UACGGAGGGUGCGAGCGAUAAUCGGAAUAACAGGGCGUAAAUCGCUCGUAGGUGGUUGAUUCAGUAAGAUGUGAAAGCCCAGGGCUUAACCUGGGAACUGCACCUGAUACUGCUUGACUAGAGUACGGUAGAGGGCAGUGGAAUUUCCUGUGUAGCGGUGAAAUGCGUAGAUAUAGGAAGGAACACCAGUGGCGAAGGCGACUGCCUGGACUGAUACUGACACUGAGGUGCGAAAGCGUGGGUAGCAAACAGG